GCCAGCAUGGCACAGUGGUUUUAGUGCUGGACUACAACUCUGAAGACCAGGGUUUGAUUCCCAGCUUGGUCA